GGCCGCGGGAAUUCGAUUAGAGUUUGAUCCUGGCUCAGGAUGAACGCUGGCGGUAUGCUUAACACAUGCAAGUCGAACGGGCGCUACGGCGCUAGUGGCGGACGCGUGAGUAACACGUGAGAAUCUGGCUUCAGGACGGGGAUAACAAUUGGAAACGAUUGCUAAUACCGGAUGUGCCGAGAGGUGAAAGAUUUAUCGCCUGAAGAUGAGCUCGCGGCUGAUUAGCUAGUUGGUGAGGUAAGAGCUCACCAAGGCGACGAUCAGUAGCUGGUCUAAGAGGAUGAUCAGCCACACUGGGACUGAGACACGGCCCAGACUCCUACGGGAGGCAGCAGUGGGGAAUUUUCCGCAAUGGGCGCAAGCCUGACGGAGCAAUACCGCGUGGGGGAAGAAGGCCUGUGGGUCGUAAACUCCUUUUGUCAGGGAAGAAGACUGACGGUACCUGACGAAUCAGCAUCGGCUAACUCCGUGCCAGCAGCCGCGGUAAUACGGAGGAUGCAAGCGUUAUCCGGAAUUAUUGGGCGUAAAGCGUCCGCAGGUGGCGAGUCAAGUCUGCUGUCAAAGGUCAGGGCUCAACUCUGAAUCGGCAGUGGAAACUAGCUUGCUAGAGUACGGUAGGGGUAGAGGGAAUUCCCAGUGUAGCGGUGAAAUGCGUAGAUAUUGGGAAGAACACCGGUGGCGAAAGCGCUCUACUGGGCCGAGACUGACACUGAGGGACGAAAGCUAGGGGAGCGAAAGGGAUUAGAUACCCCUGUAGUCCUAGCUGUAAACGAUGA
rnacentral:rRNA from 1 species